rnacentral:lncRNA from 1 species
UGGGUCGUCCAUCGCGAUGCGAUCUUGGCCGUCCAUGCGUGAUUCAAUCUGGACCGUCCGAUUGCGCGCACGCGGAUCGCCCACGUGACUCCGUCCCGCGUGGCUUCCCGCGUCAGCGUCCCUGCCAUGCGGCGUGUCCUGGUUGGUCGGGGCUGCUGACGCGGCUGUUGACGUGGUGCUAUUUUUCUAAAUUGCGUUUUAACCUCCGGUUUUCGAUUUCUUUUUAAAAACACCCCCAUAAUUCAAAUUUUCACCCUUUUUUCCUAAAAUCAAUUUCAAUUAAAUUUCAAAAAUAAU